GAGCAAACAGCCACAACCCAUCUUACGUCUGACAGAAGGGAAAAACAUUUGACUCUUUUCCAGGAUGAACUUGCUUGGCAUCUCACAGCAGGUAAAGCACUUGUAGGUGAUAUCAUUAAUUGCAGCUGCAGUCCUCUCUUGUAUCUGAUACGUUGCCCAGAUAUUCUCACUGACGCGUCUUGUUGGGAAACCAGAGCAGAACAACGGCAUCGUUUAUCUACUGCAGCACGUUGGUGGGUUCAGUCUUCUUGAGAGGACGAUAGCAGGACGCAGGAUGCAGCGGUGACUCUGGAGGACCCAGACAGCCUGAACAACUGCUGCGAGCAGGUGUUUCUCCUCUUCCUGAGCAGCUCGGAACUCUCUACAGAGUAAUUAACAAGAUACAUUUGCGCUGGGGGGGGUGGGGGUUAAGUAUGGAAAUUGUUUUCUUUGGGCGUCACAUUUUUAAUUGCAUUUUAAGAUUCAUGCAAGAUUCCUUUGACGGACGAAAGGUGAGGUCAUGGAUGCAGCGUCUACCAAGAGAGCCGCACUGCUCUGGACUCCUCGUGGUCAUUCAUCGCUCAUGUAUAUUUUGCAUGCAUGAAUAUGUGGAAGCCUAAAUCGAUUAAUAAUUCACUCCAGCUUGAAAAACGUGACAUGGCAUGAAUACAGUUUGUGUGUCAGAAAAAUAACUCCAAUGACCAAUGAUGAAUGAUGAAUGACCACCGGCACGCUAACUGUGUUAAGACCGGCUGCUGCUCCAGUGAUCGAGCCUUCUGAUUGGCUGGGUUCUGUUUGGGCAUUUAGCGGAUGGGUACACUGUGUAACAGCAUUAAUGUCAGCGAUGUUAUUGCUGCUACGCAGAUGUCUGGCCUCUGUGGUAAAGUACAGUUAUCUUGGCCUCAGGACACGGUGCUGUUGUUUAAGGUUUCUCGUUCAUCAGUCCUCGGUUUCCACGUGAAUCAUUUUAUGCUCCACACCUUGAAACUUUUGACCUCCUCCCUUCUCUUUGCCUUUCUUUACUUCAGGGCUCCGCAGUUCAAACACUACACACGCAGAAGGCUGCGAUUCUGAGUAACCGUGAAAUGCUUUAGAUUUGAGUCAGAUAUAAAAACGUGUUUGCCAGGAUGUUUUUUUUUUUCUCUCCGUGUCGGUGGGUGUGUGAGUGUUUGUAGUAUCCAUGAGUGUUUUACAGGGG
ensembl:lncRNA